rnacentral:rRNA from 1 species
UUUCUAGAGAGUUUGAUCCUGGCUCAGGAUGAACGCUGGCGGCGUGCCUAACACAUGCAAGUCGAACGGGACUUA